rnacentral:rRNA from 1 species
UACGAAGGGGGCUAGCGUUGCUCGGAAUUACUGGGCGUAAAGCGCACGUAGGCGGCUUCUUAAGUCGGUGGUGAAAUCCUGGAGCUCAACUCCAGAACUGCCUUCGAUACUGGGAAGCUCGAGUCCGGGAGAGGUGAGUGGAACUGCGAGUGUAGAGGUGAAAUUCGUAGAUAUUCGCAAGAACACCAGUGGCGAAGGCGGCUACCUGGACCGGUUCUGACGCUGAGGCGCGAAAGCGUGGGUAGCAAACAGG